rnacentral:rRNA from 1 species
UACGGAGGGUGCAAGCGUUAUCCGGAUUCACUGGGUUUAAAGGGUGCGUAGGUGGGCAGGUAAGUCAGUGGUGAAAUCUCUGGGCUUAACCCGGAAACUGCCGUUGAUACUAUCUGUCUUGAAUAUAGUGGAGGUGAGCGGAAUAUGUCAUGUAGCGGUGAAAUGCUUAGAUAUGACAUAGAACAUCGAUUGCGAAGGCAGCUCGCUACACUAUGAUUGACACUGAGGCACGAAAAGCGUGGGGGAUCAAACAGG